rnacentral:rRNA from 1 species
AUGGAGACCGUUUCGACGAACGAGGACACCGGCAAGGGGGCGAUGUGGGAGCUGGAGAAGAGCCUUGAUCAGCCCAUGGACGCAGAGGCCGGGAGACUGAGGAAUAUGUACAGAGAAAAGACCUACCCAACAGUUUUGAUGCUACAACUAGCUUUCCAAAGCCUUGGUGUGGUGUUUGGAGAUUUAGGCACAUCGCCUCUUUAUGUUUUCUACAACAUCUUUCCUGAAAAGAUAGAAGACACGGAGCAAAUUAUCGGGGCACUCUCGCUUAUUAUCUACUCCCUUACUCUCAUUCCCCUCGUUAAAUAUGUUUUUAUCGUCUUGAGGGCAAGCGAUAACGGCCAAGGUGGAACUUUUGCUCUUUAUUCAUUGCUUUGCCGGCAUGCAAAGAUAAGCAUUAUUCCCAAUCAACAUAAAACCGAUGAAGACCUAACAACAUACAGCCGUCAGACAUAUGAUGAGAAGUCUCUUGCUGCAAAGAUCAAAAGAUGGUUAGAGGGGCACCAAUUCAGAAAGAAUGUCAUUCUUAUUCUUGUCCUUUUUGGUACUUGCAUGGCUGUUGGAGAUGGAAUUCUCACUCCGGCUAUAUCAGUUCUUUCUGCAACUGGUGGAAUAAAGGUCGAAGAACCCAGAAUGGGAAAUGAUGUGGUUGUAAUAGUCUCCGUGGUGAUACUGAUUGGACUGUUCAGUAUGCAGCACUAUGGCACAGACAAAGUCAGCUGGCUUUUUGCACCAAUAGUAUUUGUUUGGUUCAUACUUAUUGGAGUCCUGGGGGCUGUAAACAUUUAUACAUAUGAUAGGUCGGUUCUCAAGGCGUUCAAUCCUAUUUAUGUAUAUCAUUAUUUUAAGCGAGGGAAGACUAGCUGGGCUUCCCUGGGAGGAAUUAUGCUCAGCAUAACAGGGACAGAAGCACUGUUUGCUGACCUUUCAUAUUUUCCCGUACAAGCUAUUCAGAUUGCUUUCACUACGGUUGUGUUCCCAUGUCUUCUUUUGCAAUAUACUGGUCAAGCUGCCUAUAUAGCCACACACAAAGACAAAGUCUCCCACUCCUUCUAUUUUUCUCUUCCAGAGCGUAUACUUUGGCCAGCAUUUGUCGUUGCAACAGCUGCUGCAAUAGUUUCUAGCCAGGCAACGAUCUCUGCGACGUACUCAAUUAUCAAGCAAGCGCUUGCGGUGGGAUGCUUCCCCAGGGUGAAGAUCAUCCAUACAUCGAAGAAGUAUCUUGGCCAGAUAUACAGCCCUGAUAUUAAUUGGAUCCUCAUGGUUCUCUGUAUUGCUGUCACCGCUGGAUUCAAGAAUCAGUCCCAGAUUGCAAAUGCUUAUGGUACAGCUGUGAUAAUGGUCAUGCUUGUGACAACAUUUCUCAUGAUCCCCAUAAUGCUGCUGGUAUGGCGCAGCCAUUGGGCCUUGGUCGUGCUCUUCACGGUGUUGUCGCUGGCUGUUGAGAUCCCGUACUUGACCGCCGUCAUGAAGAAGAUUGAUCAGGGCGGCUGGGUUCCUCUCGUGUUCGCUGCGGCCAUCCUCCUCAUCAUGUACGUAUGGCACUAUGGCACGCUCAAACGCUACGAGUUUGAGAUGCACAGCAAGGUGUCCAUGGCGUGGAUCCUGGGCCUUGGCCCGAGCCUCGGCCUGGUCCGGGUGCCCGGGAUAGGCCUGGUGUACACAGAGCUGGCGAGCGGCGUCCCUCACAUCUUCUCGCACUUCAUCACCAACCUCCCGGCGAUCCACUCCACCCUGGUGUUCGUCUGCGUCAAGUACCUCCCGGUGUACACCGUGCCGCUGGACGAGAGGUUCCUCGUGAAGCGGAUUGGCCCCAAGAACUUCCACAUGUUCCGCUGCGUGGCACGGUACGGCUACAAGGACAUCCACAAGAAGGACGACGACUUCGAGAAGAUGCUAUUCAGCAGCCUGCUGCUCUUCAUCCGGCUGGAGAGCAUGAUGGAGGAGUACUCGGACUCCGAUGAGUACAGUGCCCUGGACCAGCAGGAGCUGAUCGACGAGGCGCGCAGUGACGCCAGGUCCGCCGCCGACCUCAGCUACGCCUCCCGCGACUCCAUCGUGCCGGUGCGCUCCCCGAACCGCCCAGGGGCCAUGUCGUCGGCACAGACUACGACAGCGACCCUGGGGUUUGAGACCGUGGGCGACGAGGUCGCGUUCCUGAACUCGUGCAAGGACGCGGGGGUCGUGCACAUCCUCGGGAACACUGUCAUCAGGGCUCGCAGGGACUCGGGGCCGCUGAAGAAGCUUGCCAUCGACUACCUCUACGCCUUCCUGAGGAAGAUCUGCAGGGAGAACAGUGCCAUCUUCAAUGUUCCCCAUGAGAGCCUGCUGAAUGUUGGGCAGGUGUUCUAUGUGUAG